rfam:Dipodomys ordii contig_29928, whole genome shotgun sequence.
GGGGAUGAGGGCGAUCUGGCUGUGACAUCUGCAUUGAUCACCGGGGUUAAUUCGACUGAUCUGACUGGCUAGGUAGAUGUCCCCUUCCUCCCUCACCACUCCAUGUGUGUCCCUCCCAAAGCUACAUACUUGCUUGAAGAAGAUGACCAUCCCCAAUAGAGGAGGACCAAUCUUUGGUCAAGCGUAUAUGAGUAGCUGCACUCCCCUGCUAGAAACCCCAUACAAGUUCUCAUUAUACAUUUUUUAUAAGACAAAACCCAUGCUUUCUUCAAUUUCACUGAGAAGACAGAAGUAUAUAAAUUUUCCUCUGGU